AUUUUUAUAAGUAUAAUCUGCUCAAUGAAUUUUAAAUAGCCGCAAAUUUAACUGUGUUAAGGUAGCAUAAUCACUUACCUUUUAAUUAAAGGUUUGCAUGAAAGAUUGAACAAUUAAAUUUCUUUUUUAUAAGUAUUUGUUAAACCUAAAUUAAAAAUAAAAAUGUUUUUAUAAAAUAAAUAGACGAUAAGACCCUAUUGAACUUCACUUCAGUUUAGCUGGGGAAGCUAAUUAAAUAUAAUUUUAAUAACUAUCUUUAAAAUAUAUUUCUAAUAAAAUUAACUUAAACAAGUUACCAUAGGGAUAACAGCGUGAUAUAAUUUUAAAGAUCAUAUUAAAAAUUAAGCUUACGACCUCGAUGUUGAAUUAGAAUUUCUUAAAGAUGCAAUAAUCUUAAAAGAAGGUCUGUUCGACCUUUAAAAUUCU
rnacentral:rRNA from 1 species